GUAUUGCUGAAGAGCCCCAGACCAGGGCGAAUCAGCUGCCCAGUAC
rnacentral:hammerhead_ribozyme from 1 species